rnacentral:lncRNA from 1 species
AUGGGAGGCUGGAGGCCGUGGUGCUCGACCAUGGAGUGGCCAUGUAUCCAGGGCCAGGGUGGCCGUCUGCUCAGGGGGGGCAUGGAGCAGCCGUGUGUCCAGGCCCAGGGCAGCCGUGUGUCCAGGGAGGCCGUGGAGUGGCCGUGUGUCCAGGCCCAGGGUUGUGUCCAGGGUUGCUGUGGAGUGGCCGUGUGUCCAGGCCCAGGAUGUCUGUGUGUUCAGGGUUGCUGUGGAGCAGUCAUGUGUCCAGGCCCGGUGAGGCCGUGUGUCCAGGGUUGCUGUGGAGUGGCCGUGUGUCCAGGCCCAGUGAGGCCAUGGAGCAGUCGUGUGUCCAGGCCCAAGGAGGCCGUGUGUCCAGGCCCGGGGCUGUGUCCAGGGAGGCCGUGGAGCGGCCGUGUGUCCAGGCCCAGGAUGUCUGUGUGUUCAGGGUUGCUGUGGAGCAGUCGUGUGUCCAGGCCCAGUGAGGCCAUGGAGCAGUCAUGUGUCCAGGCCCAAGGAGGCCGUGUGUCCAGGCCCGGGGCUGUGUCCAGGCCCAGGGCAGCCGUGUGUCCAGGCCCAGGAUGUCUGUGUGUCCAGGGUUGCUGUGGAGUGGCCGUGUGUCCAGGCCCAGUGAGGCCAUGGAGCAGUCGUGCGUCCAGGCCCAAGGAGGCCGUGUGUCCAGGCCCGGGGCUGUGUCCAGGGAAGCCGUGGAGCGGCCGUGUGUCCAGGCCCAGUGAGGCCAUGUGUCCAGGGUUGCUGUGGAGUGGCCGUGUGUCCAGGCCCAGGCCCGUGUCCAGGCCCGGGGAGGUGACUCCAGCACAGGCUUGUCCUUUCAGGAUGGGCAGUGUGAGUCAGCCCUCCUUCCUGAAGGGUGUCUCUGGGAACCGGCCCGGCCAGUUCCCUGCCGCCUCUCCUUGCCUUUCCUCCCUGCCAGCGGGAAGGCACAGCCUGUGGCUGCCGGGAGAAUGUCUGGGGCUCUCUUCAGCUUUCUGGUGCUCUUCAUGGCAUCCCACUCUUACAGGAAAACAAGGAUGUCUUUGGAAAGCUGGGAAAAAUCAGUUCUUUGAGUAUGGCGUCUUUAAACAAGGUGCCAUUUUAACAGAGUUUUUAUAA